rnacentral:rRNA from 1 species
GAUGAACGCUGGCGGCGUGCUUAACACAUGCAAGUCGAACGAUGAAGCCCAGCUUGCUGGGUGGAUUAGUGGCGAACGGGUGAGUAACACGUGAGUAACCUGCCCUUGGCUCUGGGAUAAGCCUGGGAAACUGGGUCUAAUACUGGAUAUGACUUCUCAUCGCAUGGUGGGGGGUGGAAAGAUUUAUUGGUCUUGGAUGGACUCGCGGCCUAUCAGCUUGUUGGUGGGGUAAUGGCUCACCAAGGCGACGACGGGUAGCCGGCCUGAGAGGGUGACCGGCCACACUGGGACUGAGACACGGCCCAGACUCCUACGGGAGGCAGCAGUGGGGAAUAUUGCACAAUGGGCGCAAGCCUGAUGCAGCGACGCCGCGUGAGGGAUGACGGCCUUCGGGUUGUAAACCUCUUUCAGUAGGGAAGAAGCGAGAGUGACGGUACCUGCAGAAGAAGCGCCGGCUAACUACGUG